rnacentral:misc_RNA from 1 species
AAGUCGUAACAAGGUUUCCGUAGGUGAACCUGCGGAAGGAUCAUUAAAGAAUACCGGCUUCGCAGCCAACAUUCUCACCCUCUGUAUACCAAACUUCGUUGCUUUGGCGGGGCUUCCCCCAGCUUCGGCUGGACUGCGCCCUGCCAGAGGACCCUAACUCUUGAAUCUCUGCUGUCUGAGUACUAUCAAAAUAGUUAAAAACUUUCAACAACGGAUCUCUUGGUUCUG